rnacentral:piRNA from 1 species
UCCCGCAACUGACUUGACGAAAGGCCGUGC